AUUGAACGCUGGCGGAAUGCUUUACACAUGCAAGUCGAGCGGCAGCGCGGCCUUCGGGCUGGCGGCGAGCGGCGAACGGGUGAGUAAUGCAUCGGAACAUGCCCAGUCGUGGGGGAUAACACUUCGAAAGAAGUGCUAAUACCGCAUACGUCCUGAGGGGGAAAGCGGGGGAUCGCAAGACCUCGCGCGAUUGGAGUGGCCGAUGUCAGAUUAGCUAGUUGGUGGGGUAAAGACCUACCAAGGCGACGAUCUGUAGCUGGUCUGAGAGGAUGAUCAGCCACACUGGGACUGAGACGCGGCCCAGACUCCUACGGGAGGCAGCAGUGGGGAAUUUUGGACAAUGGGGGCAACCCUGAUCCAGCCAUUCCGCGUGAGUGAAGAAGGCCUUCGGGUUGUAAAGCUCUUUCGGCAGGAACGAAACGGUGGGCUCUAACAUAGUCCGCUAAUGACGGUACCUGAAGAAGAAGCACCGGCUAACUACGUG
rnacentral:rRNA from 1 species